GAUGAUCAUAGCAAGAUUAAAACACCUGAUACCUUUCCGAACUCAGAAGUGAAACGUCUUAGCGCCGAUGGUAGUGGGGUUUUUCGACCAUGUGAGAGUAGG
rnacentral:rRNA from 1 species